CCUAUGAGGCUGCUACCCAGCAGCCCCUCAUGGGACAUUAGAUGUGUCCAACAUUAAUGUAUCCAAGUCUUCUGCACAAGGAGCAGCAGCUGGAGGCCAGACAGCCUGUCCUCUGAGGCCUAAAGCAGCCCUGAUUCACAACACUUAGCUCCUAAAAUGCCAGUGGAAAGAAGGAAGAUGCACAAAGAUAUCACAGGAGGACAAACCCUUGGGUGAUGCAAUCAGAAGGCUCCUGAAGCCAGGACAG